GAUGAACGCUGGCGGCGUGCCUAAUACAUGCAAGUCGAGCGAACAGACGAGGAGCUUGCUCCUCUGACGUUAGCGGCGGACGGGUGAGUAACACGUGGAUAACCUACCUAUAAGACUGGGAUAACUUCGGGAAACCGGAGCUAAUACCGGAUAAUAUAUUGAACCGCAUGGUUCAAUAGUGAAAGACGGUUUUGCUGUCACUUAUAGAUGGAUCCGCGCCGCAUUAGCUGGUUGGUAAGGUAACAGCUUACCAAGGCAACGAUGCGUAGCCGACCUGAGAGGGUGAUCGGCCACACUGGAACUGAGACACGGUCCAGACUCCUACGGGAGGCAGCAGUAGGGAAUCUUCCGCAAUGGGCGAAAGCCUGACGGAGCAACGCCGCGUGAGUGAUGAAGGUCUUCGGAUCGUAAAACUCUGUUAUUAGGGAAGAACAAAUGUGUAAGUAACUAUGCACGUCUUGACGGUACCUAAUCAGAAAGCCACGGCUAACUACGUG
rnacentral:rRNA from 1 species